UUUUUUAGGUGACAAGGGCGGGGAGGAUCGGGAAGAUGCGUGAGGACGAUACUGGGUAGCUGUGUUCCUGGUUGGUCUGUAGAGACCUUUAUAUUUCAGUAUUUAGUUCAGCUUUUCGUAUAUGUUGAAUUAGUUUGGUUCAUUACCUAUUAAUGUUUGAAUAAUAAUGGAUGGGUGUGGAUUAUUGUUAUUAUGUGAUUAUCAAUUGUUCUCAUCAGAUUGCCUGUGUUUUGUGGUUGUAUGUGUGGUUGACUUUGUAUAAAGGUG
rnacentral:lncRNA from 1 species